UACAGAGGGGGCAAGCGUUGUUCGGAAUUACUGGGCGUAAAGCGUGCGCAGGCGGUUGUGCAAGACAGAUGUGAAAUCCCCGGGCUUAACCUGGGAACUGCAUUUGUGACUGCACAGCUGGAGUGCGGCAGAGGGGGAUGGAAUUCCGCGUGUAGCAGUGAAAUGCGUAGAUAUGCGGAGGAACACCGAUGGCGAAGGCAAUCCCCUGGGCCUGCACUGACGCUCAUGCACGAAAGCGUGGGGAGCAAACAGG
rnacentral:rRNA from 1 species